CUUGCUAUACUCCUUAUGGACCACAUCAUAAAAGACACAAACCGUUUUUACAAACAGGCCUGAUUGAUUUUCAUAUGCGGUUGCACCAACUGCAUGGGCCAAAUUAUCUGCGAAAAUACAAAUCUUUGCAUGCAGCCAGAGCACCCGCAUGUGAAAAUUCGAUUUUUACAUGCGGGCGCUUUAAGCCAACCGCAUGCAAAGAGAAAAAUCGCGAAAAAAAUAAAAUUCCAAAAAUAAAAAACGAAAAAAAUAGCGCCGCCGCCCGCCCGAGCUCGUCGCAGCAGCCACCGCUUCCGCUCCCUGCGUAGCCGUCGCCGUCGCCGUCACUGUCGCCGGCUGCCCGAGAAAACCGUUGCCACCGCCCGAAACCGCCGCUGCCACCACUGCCCCCAGAUCUGCCGCCACGCAUCGAGCUCCACCUCGGCCGCAUAUCAUAUGUCUGGCGUGUCCAGGUGCAGCAGCACCUCGGCCGCGCAUAGUUCCAGGAACUCACCGAGCCCGGCACCGGCGACCUUGCUGGCCUCCAUUUCCGAGCAAAAAGGCCGUGCCUUUGAUUGGAUUCUUGCGGAAUCAAUCCUGCAUGGUUCAAUCAAAUAAAUCGAGUUCUUGCAACAAAAGCCUCCUAAGAACCACUUCGAGCUGUAGCUUUUGGAUGGUGUGGUACAAGCACGAGCUUGAUCCGGAGCUGCAGAAGGCGAGAGGAGGGGAAUGUGGGGCACCUGUGGACGGUUCUACCGGUCGCCGGAUCCACCGCCGCCAUCCGUCGCCGUGGCCUUGCUCGCUGUCGGCGACAAGAGAGGGGAGGGAAGGAGAGGACACGAGAGGAGAGAGGG
rnacentral:lncRNA from 1 species